AAAUCAUGUAUUUACAAGCCAUCAAAUAAUCCAAUAAAUCACCACAACUUGAAUAUGACACUUGUAUGUUGUAGUACAUUUGGACUUCACUAUCUUGUCAUGCCAUUGGGUUUGGAUGUGCACUAGGCUUCAAUACUUGACUCAAUCAUAUGAUGAACAAUGUAGGAUCAAUUGAAUCGAGCCUUCAAUGCCGAUGGUACCUACAAUCAAUCAUCCACUCUUUGAUGGUACCCAAACUAGUUUGGGUUCUCUCAAGUUAGGAGUAACAUACUUAGGCGAUGCCUUAGUAUGAGUAGCGGGAUGUUGUACAAUAGUAACCAUAGAGGUAUCAUCACCAUCUCUUCUAAGCACAUUAUUAUCAUCGAUGGAAAUAGGCUUAGAAUUCUCACCUAUGGGAUAUGAAUAAGCCAUGU
rnacentral:lncRNA from 1 species